AUGUUAACAACUCUACUUUCAAACUUUUCAAUAAUGCAAAAUAAUUCCACACCCAAUUUCUGAGGAAUUUAACAUCCAUGGAGUGUACAGUCCCUGAAUAAGAAUUAACUCCCCAUUGCUUAAAAGGCACUGUUGCCAAGUAUCCUUAACAUCACCUACACUAUUAAGGCAGCAGUUGUAGAGCAGUUGUAGAACAUAGCUCGGUACAUAGAAACAAUUAGUUGUGCCAAAAGUCAGUUAUUGAUACGUUACUUUACAUGGCUUGAUAUAAUAGGAAAUGAGUCCUCAAGCACCGGUUUCUGGUUUCAGAAACAGCAAAAUUGAUAUUUCAUCGAGUGUAGAAAAAUCAACACUUGAGAGGUGGAUCUGCAUAGAAGAGCUGAUUUUCUGUGUAAUUGUGUGAGUGAAUGUGAGUGUGUUGGGCAGCACUACUGGGGUCGAUGCCUGGUAGCCAUAACUGUGAGCUGCAGCGUGGGGUGGAGCUCCUUGUCGAUUCGUUGCAUCUCCUGUCAACAAUCCAACUGGUUGCCUUCACAUUAUAUUAUCAGAAUAAUUUUGUAAAUUUCUCUAGCUUUCGUCAUUUUUCAAAUUACGAAGACGCUGUUCAAAAGAAACUAAACUAAUCAUUCUUAACUACAAUCACCCGUAGGGCUUCACAAUCAACCACAACAUAAAGAUCUCACAUCAAGUAAUUGAACUUUCGCAUUAGCUGUGAGAAGAGGAAUGCAGCAGCAGGCCAGUGGCAGAUCGGCAUCGCUUCGCAAGACUCAUGCAUCUCACAGACACACUCAGUCACUCCCGUAACAAGGUAUAUUCAAUUUCGAUCUGUCCAGGCAGGUUGAAAUGUUUUGGGGUACACUGCUCGGGCAGGCAUGGGAUGACUUCCCUCAUUCCACCAUGGGUAAAACAGUUCACCGUGACGUGGUUGUGAGAGAGGAUCCACCCCAGCAGUUGGUACAGGGGCAGAGCUGUAGCAUUUUAUUUUGUAUUGUUUUUAUCAGACGCAUGUAUUCAGCAUAGAUAGAGCUAGACAUGCUCAAUGCGGUUUUCUUUACAGAUAGGACUUCGAUGAUUGAUGCACCACCCUGACUAUUCCUAACAAGUGAUUACAUUAGGACAUUCUUACAAGACUUUGCGACGGCUUGGAAUCUUCGCACAUGAAGAUUAAAUAUGAAAAUAGGAAAAGGAGAAAAAAAAAAGAAAAAAGAAAAAAGAACACACACACACACACACAAGAGACUCUACAUGAUAGAUUGGAUCUUGACAGUUAAAAUCAUCAAAAACCCUAGUUAAAAACAACAGACCAGAAAGAAAGAACGCGGUGAGCCUUCAUCGAGCGAACGAAGUUGUCACAGGUCGUGGGACGUGUAGAUAAUGCGGAGCACAAAGAGCGUACAGCAGCGGAGAGUCCGCUCCGGAGGAGUACCCUCGCGAACGAAGUCCACAAGCAGCCCACUCCUCGCGCUUCAACGCACACCGAAACACGUGAGCACGCAACCUCAAAUAUCUUUGCGAACAAUCAUAAGGCUCGUGGUGACGAAGCUCCCAUCCACACAGCACGCACCCCAGCGAUCUCCUUUCAGAGAUCACCCGGUGAGGCAUAAGCAGAGGAACAUCGCUGUGAAGCAACCAGCUGAGCCAGAGCGCAAAAAGUAACAUCGAGACACCGGCGUUAAGAUUGAAAACUAUGCGAAAUCAUUUGCACGUCAAGCUAAGAGGACGAGCAUCAGAGAGCCUUUGCUUGGGGACAAGUAACGUCCACAGUUGCCGUUAACGCAUCCCGACAUUACCACUCACACCAUGGUCACAACUAGGGCACCAAUCACAACCUCGGCGUCGGAAAAGUAAACUUAUAAGCAAGGAGGUGAGAUUUAGGGUUUGGCCGCUGGGCAUAUCUAACGCAGUGAGAACCAAUAUUGAAUCAGUGACCAAGGAAUAUUCUUCAAUUAAAUCGGUUAGUAAGUAUACACUUUGUUUGUUUGUUGUUGAUGCUACUGCUGCUUCAGCAAGCUCUAUCUGAGUCUUGUUUUGAGAGAACCCUAAAAUCCUAAACCCUUUCUGAGUCUUGUUAAGAGAGCUUUAUUUGUUCUGCAAAUGAGGAAUUGAAGGAUGUUAUUUGAUGACUAAGUGGGCAAAAGGUACCCUAAGUAGAUAUUAAUCACUUUGUAAAGUUUAGAUGGAAUCCAAUUUUUAUUUGUUGUAAGAUCU
rnacentral:lncRNA from 1 species